ensembl:lncRNA PVT1 Pvt1 oncogene
UCAGCACUCUGGACGGACUUGAGAACUGUCCUUACGUGACCUAAAGCUGGAGUAUUUUGAGAUUGGAGAAUUAAGGCUACAGAGAAACAAGGAGACGGGAGAGCCUUGAAAUGGACCUUCAAGAUUACAAUGUGUAGCUGACAUUGUCAGUUAAGUUGGGCAGAUCUGACUUCGCUGAUUAAGUGGAUGUAUGAGCCGAUCCUCCCCAGAAGCUGGGAUCAGCUUCCCCAUCUGAUGAGCCAGUCUUGGUGCUCUGUGUUCACCUGGUUCAUCUGAGGAGCUGCAUCUACCCUGCCCAUGCCAUAGAUCCUGCCCUGUUUGCUUCUCCUGUUGCUGCUAGUGGACAUGAGGACAGAAUAACGGGCUCCCAGAUUCACAAGCCCCACCAAGAGGAUCACCCCAGGAACG